UUUCCCCAGGGAUCAGUCAUUAUAAUCUUAGCCCUGCUGAGGUUGACUCUAUUGCUGAAGGUGCAGCAACCUCACUGAGAAUCACGCUUGAUUCUGUUGCCCCCUUGAAAAAGAAAAUAGUAAAUCAGAGGAGGUGUGCCCCCUGGUAUAAUUCACAUAUCAGGACCCUCAAGCAGAAAGUGCGAAGACUGGAAAGGAAGUGGCAUUCUUGUAAAAUAGACAAGGCCCUUCGCAAGGCUAGAACAGCUUAUUUUUCUUCUUUGAUUGAGGAAAAUAAGAACAACCCCAGGUUUCUUUUCAGCACUGUGGCCAAAUUAACCAAGAGUCACAGUGUUUUAGAUCCACGUAUCCCUUCUUCCCUGAGUGGUGAAGACUUCAUGAGCUUCUUCACUGAUAAAGUUCUAGCUAUCAGAGAGAAAGCUAACCAGGCCAUCCCAACAACUGGACCAUCACCAGAUGUGCCGACUGUGGGAACAUACAGGGUCUCUAACGAGCCCUUAAGCUCCUUCAGCCCUAUAUAUUUUUCUGAGGCGUCAUCGCUAAUUCAGAAAUCCAAGACCACCACGUGUCUUUUAGAUCCCAUCCCAACACACCUGUUGAAGGAUGUUUUACCAUUGAUAGGCAGUUCUAUCCUGGACCAGAUCAAUAGUUCUUUAGUGUUAUGUACCCCGGUCCUACAAGGUGGCAGUGAUUAAGCCGUUGCUUAAAAAACCAUCACUGGAUCCUGAUGUCUUAGCAAAUUAUAGGCCAAUAUCCAACCUUCCUUUUAUCUCUAAAGUUCUAGAGAAGGUGGUGGUGACUCAGUUACUGGAGCACCUGCAGAGGAACAGCCUGUUUGAGAUGUUUCAGUCAGGCUUUAGAGCUCACCACAGCACAGAAACAGCACUUCUUAAGGUCACUAAUGAUCUUCUCAUAGCUUCCGAUCAUGGACUGGUCUCUAUGCUGGUUCUGCUGGACCUCAGUGCUGCUUUUGAUACAGUUGAUCACAGCAUCCUGUUACAG
rnacentral:lncRNA from 1 species